CACGUAGGGGGCGAGCGUUGUCCGGAUUUAUUGGGCGUAAAGAGCUCGUAGGUGGCUCGGUUAGUCGGGUGUGAAAACUCGGGGCUCAACCCCGAGACGCCACUCGAUACUGCUGUGGCUUGAGUCCGGUAGGGGAGCGUGGAAUUCCUGGUGUAGCGGUGAAAUGCGCAGAUAUCAGGAGGAACACCGGUGGCGAAGGCGGAUCUCUGGGCCUUACCUGACGCUGAGGCGCGAAAGCUAGGGGAGCGAACAGG
rnacentral:rRNA from 1 species